GAUGAGCGCUGGCGGCGUGCUUAACACAUGCAAGUCGAACGAUGAAGCUGGAGCUUGCUCUGGUGGAUUAGUGGCGAACGGGUGAGUAACACGUGAGCAACCUGCCCCUGACUCUGGGAUAACAGCCGGAAACGGCUGCUAAUACCGGAUAUGCACCAUGAACGCAUGUUCUGUGGUGGGAAAGAUUUUUCGGUUGGGGAUGGGCUCGCGGCCUAUCAGCUUGUUGGUGAGGUAAUGGCUCACCAAGGCGUCGACGGGUAGCCGGCCUGAGAGGGUGACCGGCCACACUGGGACUGAGACACGGCCCAGACUCCUACGGGAGGCAGCAGUGGGGAAUAUUGCACAAUGGGCGAAAGCCUGAUGCAGCAACGCCGCGUGAGGGAUGACGGCCUUCGGGUUGUAAACCUCUUUUAGCAGGGAAGAAGCGAGAGUGACGGUACCUGCAGAAAAAGCGCCGGCUAACUACGUG
rnacentral:rRNA from 1 species